rnacentral:rRNA from 1 species
CUACGGGAGGCUGCAGUGGGGAAUAUUGCACAAUGGGCGAAAGCCUGAUGCAGCAACGCCGCGUGAGCGAUGAAGGCCUUCGGGUCGUAAAGCUCUGUCCUCAAGGAAGAAUUUUGACGGUACUUGAGGAGGAAGCCCCGGCUAACUACGUGCCAGCAGCCGCGGUAAUACGUAGGGGGCUAGCGUUAUCCGGAAUUACUGGGCGUAAAGGGUGCGUAGGUGGUCUGACAAGUCAGGGGUGAAAGGCUACGGCUCAACCGUAGUAAGCCCUUGAAACUGUCGGACUUGAGUGCAGGAGAGGAAAGUGGAAUUCCCAGUGUAGCGGUGACAUGCGUAGAUAUUGGGAGGAACAUCAGUGGCGAAGGCGACUUUCUGGACUGUAACUGACACUGAGGCACGAAAGCGUGGGGAGCAAACAGGAUUAGAUACCCGCGUAGUC